rnacentral:rRNA from 1 species
UCACUAGUCGAGUCGGCCUGCGCGGAAGAUGUAACGGGGCUAAAACUAUGUGCCGAAGCUGCGGAUGUAUACUUUGUAUACGUGGUAGGGGAGCGUUCUGUAAGCCGAUGAAGGUGUGUUGAGAAGCAUGCUGGAGGUAUCAGAAGUGCGAAUGCUGACGUGAGUAACGACAAAACGGGUGAAAAACCCGUUCGCCGAAAGACCAAGGGUUCCAGUCCAACGUUAAUCGGGGCUGGGUGAGUCGACCCCUAAGGCGAGGCCGAAAGGCGUAGUCGAUGGGAAAAUGGUUAAUAUUCCAUUACUUCUGUGUAAUGCGAUGAGAGGACGGAGAAGGCUAAAUCAGCCUGGCGUUGGUUGUCCAGGUGAAAGGAUGUAGGCAUGUAUCUUAGGCAAAUCCGGGGUACUCUAUGCUGAGAUCUGAUAGCAAGCUGUACUUGUACAGCGAAGUGGUUGAUGCCAUGCUUCCAGGAAAAGUCUCUAAGCUUCAGUUACACAGGAAUCGUACCCGAAACCGACACAGGUGGUCAGGUCGAGUAGACCAAGGCGCUUGAGAGAACUCUGCUGAAGGAACUAGGCAAAAUGGUACCGUAACUUCGGGAGAAGGUACGCUGUUGUUGGUGAUGGAACUCGCUUCCUGAGCUGACGACAGCCGCAGAAACCAGGCCGCUGCAACUGUUUAUUAAAAACAUAGCACUCUGCAAACACGAAAGUGGACGUAUAGGGUGUGAUGCCUGCCCGGUGCUGGAAGGUUAAUUGAUGGGGUUAGCGUAAGCGAAGCUCUUGAUCGAAGCCCCAGUAAACGGCGGCCGUAACUAUAACGGUCCUAAGGUAGCGAAAUUCCUUGUCGGGUAAGUUCCGACCUGCACGAAUGGCAUAAUGAUGGCGGCGCUGUCUCCAGCAGAGGCUCAGUGAAAUCGAAAUCGCUGUGAAGAUGCAGUGUACCCGCGGCUAGACGGAAAGACCCCGUGAACCUUUACUGCAGCUUGACACUGAACUUUGACCUUACUUGUGUAGGAUAGGUGGGAGGCUUUGAAGCUGGAACGCUAGUUCCAGUGGAGCCGUCCUUGAAAUACCACCCUGGUAAUGUUGAGGUUCUAACUCUGUCCCGUGAUCCGGGACGAGGACCGUGUCUGGUGGGUAGUUUGACUGGGGCGGUCUCCUCCUAAAGAGUAACGGAGGAGUACGAAGGUGCGCUCAGCGUGGUCGGAAAUCACGCGUAGAGUAUAAAGGCAAAAGCGCGCUUAACUGCGAGACCCACAAGUCGAGCAGGUACGAAAGUAGGUCUUAGUGAUCCGGUGGUUCUGUAUGGAAGGGCCAUCGCUCAACGGAUAAAAGGUACUCUGGGGAUAACAGGCUGAUACCGCCCAAGAGUUCAUAUCGACGGCGGUGUUUGGCACCUCGAUGUCGGCUCAUCUCAUCCUGGGGCUGAAGCAGGUCCCAAGGGUAUGGCUGUUCGCCAUUUAAAGAGGUACGCGAGCUGGGUUUAGAACGUCGUGAGACAGUUCGGUCCCUAUCUACCGUGGGCGCUGGAAAUUUGAGAGGAUCUGCUCCUAGUACGAGAGGACCAGAGUGGACGAACCUCUGGUGUACCGGUUGUGACGCCAGUCGCAUCGCCGGGUAGCUAUGUUCGGAAGGGAUAACCGCUGAAAGCAUCUAAGCGGGAAGCCUACCUCAAGAUAAGAUUUCCCUAGGACUUUAUGUCCUCUAAAGAGCCGUUCGAGACUAGGACGUUGAUAGGUUGGAUGUGGAAGCAUAGUGAUAUGUGAAGCUGACCAAUACUAAUUGCUCGUGAGGCUUGACUAU